CUUUUACCGACUAGAAAAAACUAACAAGACUUCAAACCAAAUCAUUUGAAUUUGGCUUGCUUUUCACAUAGCAUUAAUUGUUUGCGCAUAGAGGAGUGCAAACAUGGAACGACAUGUUAUAGGACUAGCAGCCCUUCUGUUUCUGCUUGUGAGCGGCAGUGAUUCGCUGGAGUGCUACAGUUGCCAUGGCAUCCACGACAUUACAACGUGCAGAAACAUAACAACAUGUGGAGCAAAUCAGGCAUGCUAUCAUCGCAUGAGGGCUGAUGCUUCCGGUAACGUUUUGGAUGUGGGCUGUGUGGACCAUACACUGUGUGUCAAGUCCGGAAGUAUUUCAAGUCUCAUAGGACGAUCUCUGAUACAACUCAGACAAACGUCAUUCAACUGUUCAGAAUGCUGUUCAACAGAUAGAUGCAACGACCAACUGUGCUCUCACAAUUUACCUUCCGCUUGUGUUGACGAUGAGACCUGUGCUAAAAUGAGUUCCCUUUUCGACGUCUGUACUGGUAACUACGAGCAUGCUGCGAUGGUUUGUCCUCGAUUUUGUAACCUGUGCAAUUUUAGUAACGGUAACUGGGCAGACUGGUCAAGUUGGUCAUCUUGUACAAUCACGUGUGGUAGCACCUCACAGACGAGGACCAGAACGUGUACUAAUCCCCCGCCAGCAAACCAUGGUAAAAACUGCAUAGGGCCUUCCACUGACUACACGUCUUGUGUAAGAGACUCGUGCCCUGUCGACGGUGGUUGGGGUACAUGGGCUACUUGGGGAUCAUGUUCGGCAUCCUGUGGCGUAGCAUUACAACACAGAACCAGAUAUUGCGACAACCCACCUCCUGCGAGGUUUGGAGAUCACUGCUUUGGAGACUCUCUGGAUUACCGAACAUGUAUACUUCAAGGAUGCACAGAUGGUGGAUGGACCACAUGGACAAAUUGGGGCACGUGCUCAGCCACGUGCGAUGGAGGGUUUCAUCAGCGCAGUCGCCAGUGCACUAAUCCCCCAGCGUCUGUCAAUGGCCACCAGUGUGAUGGACCAAAUGUUGACGUAGGAGCAUGCAACACUCAGCAAUGUCCGCAAACAGAUGGUGGAUGGACCACGUGGACAAGUUGGGGCACGUGCUCAGCCUCGUGCGAUGGAGGGUUUCAUCAGCGCAGUCGCCAGUGUACUAAUCCUCCAGCAUCUGCUUAUGGCCACCAGUGUGAUGGUCCAAAUGUUGACGUAGGAGCAUGCAACACUCAGCAAUGUCCGCAAACAGAUGGGGGUUGGACAGCAUGGUCCUCGUGGAGCACGUGCCCAUCCACAAUAUUGUGUGUUGGUGGAAUUCAUCAAAGAUACCGAGAAUGUUCCAACCCGAAACCUUCUGUGUAUGGUCAGCAAUGUCAUGGAGUCAGUGUAGAUACACAAUCGUGCAAUACAUGCCAGUAUGCAAACAUUCAGAACUCUAUUCGUUUGAAUAAUGGGCGAGUUGAAGUAUACUUGAACGGGGCAUGGGGAACUGUGUGUGACGAUUCAUUUGAUUCCAAUAGCAAUGCUGCUCGAGUUGUGUGUAGGCAGCUCGGACUACCAUCGUUAAUUGCAAUAUUGUUUGAUAUUUUAUGAAGUUUAAAUAAUUUGUUGUUCAAAUAUCCCUAAAUUUAUUGUUGAAAAGAUAUCUAACUGACAUGUAGAUAAUGUAUGAAAAUAAAAUGAUUAACGCGUAUAAAAGUGUUUGAAUUUGAGGCGAAAGUAGAUACGUUUAACAUGUGUGGGUUCAACGAGGUUCUUCUAUCACAUUUGUUGUUCUAUCGAGCACUUUUAUAUGUCGUAUUUGUUUGAAGAUUUAAACAUCACGUUUUGACAAUUCAAAAUGUGUUAGAAGGUUUAUCAACAUUGGUAUUUGUUUUCAGGUCCAAUGCUCGUCCUAUUGACCCGUUUGAAGGGCCUAGCUAUAUGUCCAUCUUAAUGGAUGACGUUGUUUGUACCGGAAACGAAGCGUCAUUGUUUGAUUGCUCGCGUUAUGCUGGUGCGCACAACUGCCAGCACAGUGAAGAUGCUGGUGUAUACUGUGAAUAACUUACAAUAUAAUAAAAGUGUGUUCGUUAUUCAUGUAUCAAUUAUGAACAAUAAAUUAAAUGCAUCACAACCCAAUAAAAUGUGUGAACUGUU